UACAGAGACUGCAAGCGUUAUUCGGAUUCACUGGGCGUAAAGGGUGCGCAGGCGGCCGAGUGUGUGAGGCGUGAAAGCCCGGGGCUUAACCCCGGAAUUGCACCUCAAACUACACGGCUAGAGCAUUGGAGAGGGUAGCAGAAUUCAUGGUGUAGCAGUGAAAUGCGUAGAUAUCAUGAGGAAUACCAGAGGCGAAGGCGGCUACCUGGACAAUUGCUGACACUCAGGCACGAAAGCGUGGGGAGCAAAAGGG
rnacentral:rRNA from 1 species